AAUGGGCGAGAGCCUGAACCAGCCAAGUCGCGUGAAGGAAGAAGGAUCUAUGGUUCGUAAACUUCUUUUGCAGGGGAAUAAAGUGCAGGACGUGUCCUGUUUUGUAUGUACCCUGAGAAUAAGGAUCGGCUAACUCCGUGCCAGCAGCCGCGGUAAUACGGAGGAUCCGAGCGUUAUCCGGAUUUAUUGGGUUUAAAGGGUGCGUAGGUGGUUUGAUAAGUCAGCGGUGAAAGUUUGCAGCUUAACUGUAAAAAUGCCGUUGAAACUGUCGGACUUGAGUGUAAAUGAGGUAGGCGGAAUGCGUGGUGUAGCGGUGAAAUGCAUAGAUAUCACGCAGAACUCCGAUUGCGAAGGCAGCUUACUAAGCUACAACUGACACUGAAGCACGAAAGCGUGGGGAUCAAA
rnacentral:rRNA from 1 species